AACAAAGGGAGAAAGCUUCUCGCAUCCAUUUUCAAUUCUGAAUGGUGGUGUAAAGGUUCGUAAACGUAUAUAAAGUAAAAGUCAAAUGGCACAUGGACUAUUGACGAAAAAUGGCUUCCUGACGGAGUCCAGAAAUCACUGUUUACCAUUGUGAGGCAUUCUGUACAUAAAUAUUCCGGAGAAAUAUGCAUCCAGUAUCAAUGAUUGCCUUCAUCUCCAUACAUGAACAGGCAAAA